GCUUCCAUAGCUCAACGGACAGAGUAAUGGCUUCCGGAGCCAUCGAUACAGGUUCGAACCCUGUUGGAAGCACAA
rnacentral:tRNA from 3 species